UACGGGGGGGGCAAGCGUUGUUCGGAAUUACUGGGCGUAAAGGGCUUGUAGGCGGCCAACUAAGUCAGACGUGAAAUCCCCAGGCUCAACCUGGGAACUGCGUCUGAUACUGGAUGGCUUGAAUUCGGGAGAGGGAUGCAGAAUUCCAGGUGUAGCGGUGAAAUGCGUAGAUAUCUGGAGGAAUACCGGUGGCGAAGGCGGCAUCCUGGACCGACAUUGACACUGAAGAGCGAAAGCUAGGGGAGCAAACGGG
rnacentral:rRNA from 1 species